rnacentral:rRNA from 1 species
CAAGAGUUUGAUCCUGGCUCAGGACGAACGCUGGCGGUGUGCCUAAUACAUGCAAGUCGAGCGAGCAGAACCAGCAGAUUUACUUCGGUAAUGACGCUGGGGACGCGAGCGGCGGAUGGGUGAGUAACACGUGGGGAACCUGCCCCAUAGUCUGGGAUACCACUUGGAAACAGGUGCUAAUACCGGAUAAGAAAGCAGAUCGCAUGAUCAGCUUAUAAAAGGCGGCGUGAGCUGUCGCUAUGGGAUGGCCCCGCGGUGCAUUAGCUAGUUGGUAAGGUAAAGGCUUACCAAGGCGAUGAUGCAUAGCCGAGUUGAGAGACUGAUCGGCCACAUUGGGACUGAGACACGGCCCAAACUCCUACGGGAGGCAGCAGUAGGGAAUCUUCCACAAUGGACGCAAGUCUGAUGGAGCAACGCCGCGUGAGUGAAGAAGGUUUUCGGAUCGUAAAGCUCUGUUGUUGGUGAAGAAGGAUAGAGGUAGUAACUGGCCUUUAUUUGACGGUAAUCAACCAGAAAGUCACGGCUAACUACGUGCCAGCAGCCGCGGUAAGAUGACGU